AUUUUUAUCCCCAAAGAUAAAAACGUCACGUGUACGUGAACUACCAGUUACCUAAGCACAGAAGCCUAGCGGGCUGGGCAUCAGUUAAUGUGAAAAAGCCACGGGGGUUUAAGUUGGUCUCUGACUCCGAUAUGAGUAAGAGAGAGAGAGAGAGAGAGAGAGAGAGAGAAAGAGAGAGAGAAUCUGACUGAAUUCGCAGAAAUAAAUAUCCACAAAUUGUGAGUAACUUGGCUACAGCUAGGCUUCUUUUAUGUUUUGAUGAUCUUAUUUCUAUUUCUAGGACUCGUUUAUUCAUUCAUUUAGGAGAGCUUCAUUGACUGUAUCCUGCGUGCAGGCCAAUGCCUGGCGCCAGAGACACGCGAUGCAAAGAAGACAAACCACUAAAUAUGCAGAAUGGCCCUGUAAGUAGAAAGUGGGAUAAUCCCACAAAAAUGCAAAGUCAAGGAGACUUGGAAGCCGGACGCGUGGAGGUUUCGAUUUGGCCUUGGUGAUGCAGCAAGAUUUCUCCGAGGAAGUGGUGAUUCUGCUGCGGCUGGACAGACAGACAUCCGCCAAGCAGAUUCCCGGGAGGAAGCAGUGCUACCAGACCAUGUGGCCUCACGGAAGCUUCUAACUGAUAUACAGCAAUAAUAUGCAGGAAGACAAAGGCAUCUCCAGUGGGACCAUGAGUGAUCCUGGAGCAUGAACAGCUUAAAAUUCCAGAUUGUGGUGUUGGUAUUGGAAUACCUGCUUGUCCUUUCAGGAAAGAGUACUCUUCAAACAGAUGAAUGAAUCUUCACAAGGUUUGGAUUUACACAAUUCACCCAAAUUUACCAGUGUGAUCUUUCAUGGUGCUUGUUUCCCAAGAACCUUUAGAAAUGUGGAAACUGAGAGAAAGAGAGAUGAAGUGACCCAGCUGGCAGCAGUGGAGCAGGAUUCGGAACCCAGGCACUGGAGCUUUGAAGCCGGGUUCUAGUAGCAAAGUAUACACAGGCCCAGGAGAGAACAGGAGAUAUGGCUCACAUAUCAGCCAGGAGCCCUUCCUUUGCUUGUUGAGAGGUAACACAAUGAAGAUUCAAGGUGCUUUGUGUAGGAGAAGAUGGCCAUUUUGAUGAGGAAUCGGUCCUGUGGAUGCUAAUCCAUGAAUCUCUAAGGCUAAAGUUAUCCAGCAAGUGGCUUCUGUUGUAAGAAAACCAAUAUCACGUCCAUCCUGAAGCCUGGUCCUCCAGAAUUCUUGGCAAUUAUGCGAGUUACCCAGGACCUUCUCAGCAAAUUCCCUUUGUGCCUGCAUCAGUCACAGCCCAUUUCUGGUUCCUACACUUAAGAACUCUGUCUAGUAAGCGUCUGACACUCCGUCUUCCUCGAAAAGCUUCUCCUGACUAAUUGGGAAGUGCCAAUUUCUUCUCCUAUCUCGGGUGCCAGCAACUUCUCAGCCUUACUUGUCACUGCCUUCCACCAUCCUCAGAGCAGCAGCGGGACAACUGCCACCGUUCUCACAUACGUGAUUCAUCUGUCAGGGGUUUACAGAGUUGUCAGUGUUUGUUCGUGUCAACAUCACCUACUAUAGAGCUCGAGUGCACGGUGGACACAGAUGGUGUUGGUUUAAUUGAUUUUUCGAACAGCACGUAGUCGUUCGCUUGAUUCAGAAUCUGAGAAGUCUCCUGGGAGCAAUUGGCGUAAUGGAAAAAAUGGGAACCUGGGAGUCAAAGAGCCGAGUUUGUAUCCUGGCUCGGUGCAACAAAGUUCGUGACCCUGGAAAAAAGCAAGAUGUGGUCAGGCCGAAGAGUGUGGGAGGGGCAGCCGCCCCCUGGUGCUGGAGUGGCCGGAGGACCGUUUAAAAAUGGACAAGCUCGGGGCGUUGGGUGGCGCAGUCGGUUAAGCGUCCGACUUCAGCUCAGGUCACGAUCUCAUGGUCCGUGAGUUCGA